rnacentral:rRNA from 1 species
UACGGAGGAUGCGAGCGUUAUCCGGAUUUAUUGGGUUUAAAGGGUGCGUAGGCGGAGUGCCAAGUCAGCGGUAAAAAUUCGGGGCUCAACCCCGUCGUGCCGUUGAAACUGGCGCCCUUGAGUGGGCGAGAAGUAUGCGGAAUGCGUGGUGUAGCGGUGAAAUGCAUAGAUAUCACGCAGAACCCCGAUUGCGAAGGCAGCAUACCGGCGCCCGACUGACGCUGAGGCACGAAAGCGUGGGUAUCGAACAGG